rnacentral:rRNA from 1 species
GGAAAAGAAACCAACAGGGAUUGCCCCAGUAACGGCGAGUGAAGCGGCAACAGCUCAAAUUUGAAAUCUGGCCCCAGGCCCGAGUUGUANUUUGCAGAGGAUGCUUUGGGUGCGGCGCCUUCCAAGUCCCCUGGAACGGGGCGCCUUGGAGGGUGAGAGCCCCGUNCGGUCGGCAGCCGCGCCCGUGUGAAGCUCCCUCGACGAGUCGAGUAGUUUGGGAAUGCUGCUCUAAAUGGGAGGUAGACUCCUUCUAAAGCUAAAUAUAGGCCAGAGACCGAUAGCGCACAAGUAGAGUGAUCGAAAGAUGAAAAGUACUUUGAAAAGAGGGUUAAACAGCACGUGAAAUUGUUGAAGGGGAAGCGCUGGUGACCAGACGUGCCCCGUGGCGAUCCUCUGGCGUUCUCGCCAGGGCACUCGCCGCGGGGCAGGCCAGCGUCGGUUCGGGCGGGGGGAGAAGAACGACGGGAACGUAGCUCCUCCGGGAGUGUUAUAGCCCGGCGUACGAUGCCCCCGCCGGGACCGAGGUCCGCGCUCUGCAAGGACGCUGGCGUAAUGGUUACCAGCGGCCCGUCUUGAAACACGGACCAAGGAGUCGAGGUUCUGCGCGAGUGUUUGGGUGGCAAACCCGUACGCGCAAUGAAAGUGAACGCUGGUGAGAGAUUCGUCGCAUCACCGACCGAUCCUGAUGUCUUCGGAUGGAUUUGAGUAGGAGCGUAGGGCCUCGGACCCGAAAGAUGGUGAACUAUGCUUGGAUAGGGUGAAGCCAGAGGAAACUCUGGUGGAGGCUCGCAGCGGUUCUGACGUGCAAAUCGAUCGUCAAAUAUGGGCAUGGGGGCGAAG